ensembl:lncRNA
CCCGCCCCGCCCCGCCCUGCCUGGUGAGUCACGGCGCGAGGCGGCUGGUCGGGAAGCGCGUCAGUGCAGCGAGGGCGCUAAGUUCUGAGCCCGGCCCUCAGCCCGGCCGCUUGUCGGCUUUGGAGGACGCGCUGUUCCCUGCGGCCGCGGUUGCCUACGCGCGCCGCUGUCGUACCGCUCGUCCCGGCGCCCCGCAGAACCGGUUCCGCGCCUAGCAGGGCGCGCGGGUUCCGCCCGGCCGACAGGAGGCGCCCUUUGGCGCAGCCUGUGGAACUGCGACCGCCCCGCGCCCGGCGGACAAGAUGGCGGCGCCGCUGAGAGCAGCGAAGUGGCUGCGGCUGGCGGGUGGCGGGCCCGGCCUCGCUUUGACUCGUUCUGCAUUUUUUGCAAGAAAGCGUACUUACGACCAACCGAACUGGUUUGGAGUUGGGCUGGCUUUCACCACCAGUGCUGCCCUGUGGGCUUUUGUAAGUGUUCUUAUUUGAUUCUGUUGAACUUAACCAUUUCCAGAUCGUAGUGAUCUGAAGGCAAUAGCUACAACCUGUUAGUUGUGGUAAUGGACAGGUGUCAAGACUGAAGUAUGAUGUGUGGAUUACUUAUGCCUCACCAGGUCCAUGUUGCAAUUCACUGUAUAAAAGCUCUUGGGCUUGAUGUUGGAACAAGCAGGAUGUAGUUUCUUUCAGGAGAAAAUAUAAAGGAUAAGCAGCACGCAUGAGGACCACAACUUCCAGGGCAGGGGUGUAUCCUUCCUCUUCUUGGUCCCCCCAUUCAUUUUUGGGGUGGGUUGAGAGCCAGGAAAAAAAAUUGGCCAGUGAAAAAUCAUAGAACAUUUUGAAUCUGAAGGGGCCUGGAAACACAUCCAGUUCCUUUCUUCUGCUGUGGGUGGGGCUGAGGCUGAGGGACCCAUCUGACCUGGCCUUGAGCCCCUCCAGGGAUGGGGCAUCUACUGCUUCUCUGGGCAGCCUUGUCUGUGUCUCGCCUCCCUGUUGAAGGGAGGGAGGUGUGAAAAUCAUGUCUUACCGGCCAACUUAUAAUAUACAUCUAAUUUACCCUUUAUCUUCCUGAUUGCCAAUAAUUACGUGUUGGCUUACAUUCUGAUAAUUAGAAUUUCAUUUUUUCAGGAAAAAGUGGUAGAUUUCUUUUGUUCUGUUGUUCCGGUUGUGUGUUGUAUAGCCAUUUCACAUAUAUUGCUUUUGUAGCUUUUCAAGCAGCAUAAUGAAGAUGUAAUGGAAUAUGAAAGAAGAAAACAAGAGAGGCACCAUAAGUGUACAGGUUGUUCAUAGUAAGUAUUGUAAGUGAUAUUUGUCAGAAAUACUUCAAACUAAUACAGAAAACCUUGUCACGUUGUGGUUAUUUUUCUCAUAAGGUUUUUUGUGCAGCUAAAAGCCACGCAUGUUGUGAGGCCUUUCUGACUGACUUCACUGUAUGUAUUUUCCCCAUUGCUGAGGGCUUUUUCCCCCUCUUUCUUAGGUUGACCAAAUGUUUGAUGAGAAAUACCGUCCUGUGAAUUAAGGAGUACGGCGGACCUAUCUGAAAGUAUUUAAACCUUAUCUGUUCAUACAUUUCACAUGCAAGCCUAUGAAAUAAAGUGUGAAAGAAGCUUCUGAAGACUUCUCUUGCCGUUUGUAUUUUAUCCCACCGGCUUUCGUAAAUUGUUUUCUGAUUGCAUUUACGUAUUUCAUAGUUCUGAAAGUAAUGUUGAUAAAGUGC